rnacentral:lncRNA from 1 species
CUAUAUUACAACCAUCGGAAGGAGCACAGCUGCGGUGAUAACUUUGCUGUGGUGGCGUGAGCAAAGUUGCUGCAGCGACUCUCACAUCAUUGCCCAUAGUUGCCGCUUAGCACAACGAGGAGGACCUUUAGAAGGAGGUGGCACCAUCGGCGUUGGGCAAAGGCAGCGGCACGGAUUUUCAAUUUGGGUAGCAUUUUGGGCAAUUUAAGGUGGACCUUUUUGGUGAUGGAUUUGAUGUGGGAAGAAGGUUUUGGGAGGUUUCUAGUAGCUAGGUAAAUUGAUAUGGGAAAAUUUGGAUUUAUUUCUAAUUUACCUUUGUUUUCUUGUCAUCAUGUUUAUUGUGGUGUAGUGGGUGCAAUGUGGUGGUGGUUCAUUUACGAUCGCGAUGGUGGUGAUGGUGAUUGGUUGUUGGUCCAGGUCUCUGUACAAUAAUUCUAGCUAAAGAAUAAUAGAAUUUUGUUGUCUUUUUGUUAGUGUUUAUUACAAGGAGACUGGAAUGUAGCUGGCACUCACAUCCAUUA